rnacentral:lncRNA from 1 species
CGUAAUUCUAGGAAAGAGAAUUUGCAUGCAAAAACAAAUGUGAAGUAAAACUAUACCUAGAGAUAAUUUUGGUCCUAGGUAAAGAAUGCCACCUGGCUGGAAAAAAAAUGCAUAGGCGGAGCUAAAAAACUUCAACUAAGUCCUGAGGCACUCCCGCGAGACAGCAACCUCUCGAAAAAACAAAAAACAAAUCUAGGUCUCUCUUCCCCUCUCGCCAUCUCCACGCCGCACUGGGCCUCACCGUUGUACCCGCGCCUCACCGUCGUACCCGCACCUCGCGCCCCGCCGUGCCCAGCGUCGCCACCACCUUUCCUGCGAGGAAUGCCACCCCUACUGCGCUCCCUUCUCUCCCCCUUCUCCCUACCACCCUUUCCCUUCUCUCCCCUUUCUCCUCCCUACCGCCCCCCUCUCCUUUCUUCCUCCCUACCUCCGCGGCUACCGCUCCCCGGCCUGCUCGCACCGUGCUCCUCCCCAGAUCAGGGGUAGGGGGGAUCAGACCCCCUUCCUCUCCACC